UACGUAGGGGGCAAGCGUUGUCCGGAUUUAUUGGGCGUAAAGAGCGUGUAGGCGGCUAGGUAGGUCCGUUGUGAAAACUCGAGGCUCAACCUCGAGACGUCGAUGGAAACCAUCUAGCUAGAGUCCGGAAGAGGAGAGUGGAAUUCCUGGUGUAGCGGUGAAAUGCGCAGAUAUCAGGAAGAACACCCGUGGCGAAGGCGGCUCUCUGGGACGUGACUGACGCUGAGGAGCGAAAGCGUGGGUAGCAAACAGG
rnacentral:rRNA from 1 species